UUUCUCCUUUUUUUUUAUUUUUUUUUUAUUUUUUUUUUUAUUUACAU
rnacentral:ribozyme from 1 species